rnacentral:rRNA from 1 species
UACGUAGGGGGCAAGCGUUGUCCGGAUUUAUUGGGCGUAAAGCGCGCGCAGGCGGUCUACCAAGUUCGGAGUGACAGUUUCCGGCUUAACCGGAAAAGGUCUUCGAAAACUGGUGGACUUGAGGACUUGAGGGGGAGACGGAAUUCCGGGUGGAGCGGUGAAAUGCGUAGAGAUCCGGAGGAACACCGAAAGCGAAGGCGGUCUCCUGGCAAGUUUCUGACGCUCAGGUGCGAAAGCUAGGGGAGCGAACAGG